UACGUAGGGUGCAAGCGUUAAUCGGAAUUACUGGGCGUAAAGCGUGCGCAGGCGGUUUGUAAGUUUGUCGUGAAAGCCCCGGGCUCAACCUGGGAAUUGCGAUGAAGACUGCAAGGCUUGAAUCUGGCAGAGGGGGUAGAAUUCCACGUGUAGCAGUGAAAUGCGUAGAGAUGUGGAGGAACACCGAUGGCGAAGGCAGCCCCUGGGUCAAGAUUGACGCGCUCAUGCACGAAAGCGUGGGGAGCAAACAGG
rnacentral:rRNA from 1 species